rnacentral:rRNA from 1 species
CCAGCCCGCUCAGAAACUUAAAGGAAUUGACGGGGGCCCGGCACAAGCGGUGGAGCAUGUGGUUUAACUCGAUGAUACGCGAGGAACCUUACCUCGGGCUCAAAUGUAUGUUGACGUAUUCUGAAAGGGAUACUUCUUCGGACAAUAUACAAGGUGCUGCAUGGUUGUCGUCAGCUCGUGCCGUGAGGUGUCGGGUUAAGUCCCAUAACGAGCGCAACCCCUACCUUUAGUUGCCAUCAGGUAAUGCUGGGGACUCUAAAGGAACUGCCUACGCAAGUAGUGAGGAAGGCGGGGAUGACGUCAAAUCAGCACGGCCCUUACGUCCAGGGCUACACACGUGCUACAAUGGCCGAUACAGAGGGCAGCUACCUGGUGACAGGAUGCAAAUCUCCAAAGUCGGUCUCAGUUCGGAUCGGAGUCUGCAACCCGACUCCGUGAAGUUGGAUUCGCUAGUAAUCGCGCAUCAGCCAUGGCGCGGUGAAUACGUUCCCGGGCCUU